CUAACAAGGAUUCCCCUAGUAACUGCGAGUGAAGCGGGAAAAGCUCAAAUUUAAAAUCUGGUAGUCUUUGGCUGCCCGAGUUGUAAUCUAGAGAAGCAUUAUCCGUGCUGGACCGUGUAUAAGUCUCCUGGAAUGGGGCGUCAUAGAGGGUGAGAAUCCCGUCUUUGACACGGACUUCUGGUGCUUUGUGAUGUGCUCUCAAAGAGUCGAGUUGUUUGGGAAUGCAGCUCUAAAUGGGUGGUAAAUUCCAUCUAAAGCUAAAUAUUGGCGAGAGACCGAUAGCGAACAAGUACCGUGAGGGAAAGAUGAAAAGAACUUUGGAAAGAGAGUUAAACAGUACGUGAAAUUGUUGAAAGGGAAACGCUUGAAGUCAGUCAUAUUGUCCAGGGAUCAACCUUGCUUUUGCUUGGUGUACUUCCUGUUCAAUAGGUCAGCAUCAAUUUUGACCAGUGGAAAAAGGCAGAGGGAAUGUAGCAUCUUCGGAUGUGUUAUAGCUUUCUGUCAUAUACAUUGGUUGGGAUUGAGGAACUCAGCACGCCGCAAGGCCGGGUUUUAACCACGUUCGUGCUUAGGAUGCUGGCAUAAUGGCUUUAAUCGACCCGU
rnacentral:rRNA from 1 species